UACGUAGGUGGCGAACGUUAUCCGGAAUAACUGGGCGUAAAGGGUCCGCAGGCGGCCUUGAAGGUCUGGCGUGAAAGCCCUCGGCUAAACUGAGGGAGUGCGUUGGAAACCGCGAGGCUAGCAUCACGCAGGGGCUGGUGGAAUUCCCGGUGUAGUGGUGGAAUGCGUAGAGAUCGGGAGGAACCUCUAGAGCGAAGGCAACCGGCUAGGCGAUGAUGGACGCUGAGGGACGAAAGCGUGGGGAGCGAACAGG
rnacentral:rRNA from 1 species